UAGGGAAUAUUGCGCAAUGGAGGAAACUCUGACGCAGCGACGCCGCGUGGGUGAUGAAGGCCUUCGGGUCGUAAAGCCCUGUCGGAAGGGAAGAAAAAUAUUGUGGCUAACAUCCACAGUACUUGACGGUACCUUCAGAGGAAGCACCGGCUAACUACGUGCCAGCAGCCGCGGUAAUACGUAGGGUGCUAGCGUUGUUCGGAAUUAUUGGGCGUAAAGCGCGUGUAGGUGGUUAAGUAAGUCGGGUGUGAAAUCCCUGGGCUCAACCGAGGAAGUGCAUUCGAAACUGCUUAGCUAGAGGACGGUAGAGGAAGGUGGAAUUCCAAGUGUAGAGGUGAAAUUCGUAGAUAUUUGGAGGAAUACCGGUGGCGAAGGCGGCCUUCUGGGCCGGUUCUGACACUGAGACGCGAAAGCGUGGGUAGCAAACAGGAUUAGAUACCCCCGUAGUCC
rnacentral:rRNA from 1 species